rnacentral:lncRNA from 1 species
GUGUAGUAAAAUCCCUUAGUUCACAGUUUGAGUUUGGAUUAUCAAUGUAAACUCAAUGUAUUUUUUUAAAUAAGACUUUUUAAUUUUUCCAUGGAAAAUGCCUAGAAAUAAGUCCAAACCCAGUAGUAAUGCAUUUCACUACUACCCAUAUUGUGGUCUCCACCAUUUUUAUUAAAUGGUCCCAAGACGUCUUCAAGUCUGAGAGACAUGUACACGAUGAGCUUGGAACUUCUUAUACUGGGAAGUGUGGAUGCUAUGCUAUCAAACCUACGAGGGUCGUGUCAAAAAACUCAGGACAGAUUGAACAGACUCCUAUUUGGCAAACACAGGACAGUCUGAUCAUCAGAAAGGAUAAUAAUUGCAAUAUACUGAAAUACAUUAAGUAUGUUUAAAUCCACGAGCUCCUAAUGCUGCAGAGGUAACUCAGGUCAUGUUGGAUAGUGCUGGGAAACAUAGUGAAAUGGUGACAACCAAGACUGCCCCAAAUACUUGGGAUGCAUGGACACCCUUUCAAAAGACAUAUCAACCUAUCAUGAUGUAUGUGCUGUAUUUGGACCUGAUUCAAACAAACUUAUGAAUAUAUAUAUAUAUAUGGAAAAUGUGAACAUUGAAUGCAAUGUAUCUAAUACUGUUAAAUUUUCAAGUAUGGUAAUGCCACUGUGAUUAUGUUUAAAAAGGAAAAUCCCUAUAUUUCAUAGAAAUAUAUUGAAUUUUGUUGAUGAAGUUAUAUUACUAAUGGGAUUUGUUUCAACAUAAGGUGAAGAAGUCGCAGGUAUAGAAAAAAGAAGAUUGGCCAUAAGUUCAUGACUUUUGUAGCAGGGUAAAGAAUGCAAAGCUAAUAUUAUACUAUCCUUUCUGUUUUGUGUGUAUUUCAAGUUUUUCUAUAAUAAAAAGUUUAAACCUUGGAAAGAGAUACCAUAAACAGGGUAAGAAACAGUGGCAAACUCAGAGAAGGUAUUUGUAGCACAUAUGAUUGGCAAGAGAUUAAUAUAUAGAAUAUCUAAAUGGACUCCUAAUAAUAAAACUACAGAUAACCCAUAGGAAAAUGGGCAAAAGACAUGAACAGACUAUUCACAGAAAAUGAAACAAGAAUGUUUAACAUGCAUUUGGAAAUAUAUUUAUCCUCAUUAUUAAUCAAGGAAAUACAAAAUAGAAAAUAAAACAAGUUACAAUUUCAAACU